rnacentral:lncRNA from 1 species
CAUGUUACUUCAUAAUCAAUGUGCGAAUUAGUAGGGAACCAGGAUGGAAUCAAUUGAGUACUCUGUUACAAAUGAUGCGGGUUACACGAUUACACGACGUUCAAAUGGUACAUAUACAAAUAUAACGAGCCAGGAGAAUGGAAGUAGGAAACAUGUGAGCCUAACCCGUACACCAUAAACCCCAACCCCCCCCCCCCCCCUCUUCCCCUCUCCCCCCCCACCAAAUUAAUCUCUUUGGCAUAUCCGCUCGAACUAUCCGGAUGAGCUGUGCCGACCCCAUUGAGUUGUGCUUCAAGCGUAGCAUUGGCUGGGGGGGGGUGUGUGGUGUUUUUAUUUUUGGUCUGAGAUGUUGGAUCUUGUCUUCUAGGUCGUGUAGUUUGGAUUGCCUUCAUAUUUCUUGCAGAACAUGAAGUACCCGCACCCUAAUAGGAAUUGGGGGCAGGCCGUGUAAUAGCGAUACCGGUGGCUCUCGUUAGGGUUCACACACAAAACGGCCGGUUCCCAACAGUCACACAACGGCAGAAAACCCAUACUUAUUACAGGGCUUCAUUGGUUGGUUUGUGAAAGUGCUAGAGGGGAGAAUGUAAGGGGCGUUGGGGGUGGAAGGAAUAGACAAUUAGUAGGAGGAUGAGUAAUAUUUAUAGAGACAGGCCCUCACCGUAAUUGGUGGCGUACCUAUACCAAAAGGAAUGACAAACAUGUACAAUAGUGCCUCAGUUUAUCAUUCAUUUACAAAGGCAGUACCCGAGUAGU